rnacentral:rRNA from 1 species
GACGAACGCUGGCGGCGUGCUUAACACAUGCAAGUCGAACGGAAAGGCCCUCCUUGCCGGGUACUCGAGUGGCAAACGGGUGAGUAACGCGUGGGUAAUCUGCCCUGCACUUCGGGCUAAGCCUGGGAUACUGGGUCUAAUCCCGGUCAGAAUCCCUUUUUAGUGUGAUGGUUGGGACGUUUUUUCGGUGUAGGAUGAGCUCGCGGCCUAUCAGCUUGUGGGUGGGGUAAUGGCCUACGAAGGCGGCGACGGGUAGCCGGCCGGACAGGGUGGACGGCCACAUUGGGACAGAGAUACGGCGCAGACUGCAACGGGGGGCAGUAGUGGGGAAUAUGGCACAAUGGGCGGAAGCCUGAUGCAGCGACUCCGCGUGGGGGAGGACGGCCCUCGGGUUGAAAGCGCCUUUCGCUAGGGAUGAAGCUUUUUGUGACGGUACCGAGAGAAGAAGCACCGGCUAACUACGUG